rnacentral:lncRNA from 1 species
AGCGGGCCGUUGCCUAGGUAACGAGUGGCCUGGGAGUGCUUGAGGCAGCUAAAAGACAGUGGAGCUCCUGCUAGCUCUAGACCCGGGUGCUUUAAGGAGUUCUCGAAAUAGUCUCCCAGCACGAGUAGGACGAAAGAUCUGGGAGUGAGGGGCCGCCCGAGGCGGGACGAAGUGCAGAGAAGGAAGGAAGGUUGGAGGCGGACGCCCCUGCGGAAGCACGGACGGAAAAUGAGUUCCCCCGCGCUGUGCAGCGUCCUGCGGGAGUGAGCUGGGGAGACUGCCACCCUGUAGACUGCCACCCUGUAUUGUGGCGGACUUGGGCCCGCAGGCUCCUGCUGCACACGUGGGAGCGCCCCUUACACCUCUGCUGGGGCUUUGCUGACGCCAAGGUUUUACCCCACUGCGGGUCAGCACGUGGUGAGCCUCCUUUGCACGUGUAAGGAAACGGACUCGAGAGGUGGCCUGUCCGGUUUUGUAAAUUGGCAGUCUCGACACUAGAGGAGUCGCCGAUGCGCAAUUUUCUCAAUUGCAUUUGUAGUUCUUUGCGAUGGACCUUGGACCUUAUUCUGGGCAGCCCACGUUCCAGAGCACGCUGUUUGUAGAGAGGAGCAAAAGCCAAUAGAUUUGAAAUUGGUAAAUUCCUCUCCCAAUCUAUAGAAUCUUGGCAAGGAAUUUCGAUUAUUUCAUUGUCUUAAUGAUAACUACGUGGGAGAAUACUUGGACAGGCACAUAAUGGUCGUCAUCAAUACAACCUUCUGGUAGCUAUUGAGGUUUCAGUAAUAAUGUAAUUGAAUAUUAGAACAGUGACGGUAUCUACAGAAUAGUAUUAAAUUAUAAAAAGAAAAGUAUUGUCAUUUGAACUUGAAUUUUCACUUGAACUGAAAAUUAAGGAGGAAAAAACCUUUUAAAACUGUAUUGCUCCAUAUCACUGCCUGAAGAAGCAACUGUAAUUUUUAUGUAUUUUAAUGCCUCCACGGUCAUUCUGAACCUAUUUUCACUAUGUAACAUUUAAUUGUAAAUAUAGAAUGUUAAUGAAUUUCCUGUGUACUCUGGAUUUUUUAAAUUAAAUUAUUAACCUGAUUUGUCUUUUA